rnacentral:lncRNA from 1 species
AAAGUAUAACAAAAACUCUUUGAUAUUAACAUCAUUUUGUUUUGCUUAUUGUUUUAGGUGUGAGGUCGAAUUACUUUAAAUAUCUGUAUAAUUUUUUCUAAGAUUCCAUUCAGUAGUUUUUUUCCUGUUUCUUGUUUUUAAUCCAUCGUUCGUAGUAUACCCAUCAAAGGUUCUCCGAUGUUCUCCUGUUCCUUGUCUUCAAUCCAUCAUUCUAGUAUACCCACC